rnacentral:rRNA from 1 species
UACGUAGGGUGCAAGCGUUAAUCGGAAUUACUGGGCGUAAAGCGUGCGCAGGCGGUUGUGCAAGACAGAUGUGAAAUCCCCGGGCUCAACCUGGGAAUUGCAUUUGUGACUGCACGGCUAGAGUGUGUCAGAGGGGGGUAGAAUUCCACGUGUAGCAGUGAAAUGCGUAGAGAUGUGGAGGAAUACCGAUGGCGAAGGCAGCCCCCUGGGAUAACACUGACGCUCAUGCACGAAAGCGUGGGGAGCAAACAGGAUUAGAACCUACCGUAGU